rnacentral:pre_miRNA from 1 species
GAGUAUUGAGAGAGGAAGAGUUUUCUGGCUCGUUGCUCGGAUCAUCGAGAAUUGAGGUAGCAUUGGCUUUUUUUUUUUUUCCAAUAACUUC